rnacentral:rRNA from 1 species
AGCAGCCGCGGUAAUUCCAGCUCCAAUAGCGUAUAUUAAAGUUGUUGCAGUUAAAAAGCUCGUAGUUGAAUUUCGGGACUAAUAUGUCGGUCGUACUUUGUACGUACUAGCAUUAUUGGUUUCUCCCUUCUGACAAACCAUGAUGUCAUUUAUUUGGUGUUGUGGGGAAUCAGGACUGUUAACUUUGAAAAAAUUAGAGUAGUUUAAAGCAGGCUCACGCUUGAAUACAUUAGCAUGGAAUAAUGAAAUAGGACGUUUGAUUCUAUUUUGUUGGUUUCUAGGAUCGACGUAAUGAUUAAUAGGGAUAGUUGGGGGCAUUAGUAUUCAAUUGUCAGAGGUGAAAUUCUUGGAUUUAUUGAAGACUAACUACUGCGAAAAGCAUUUGCCAAGGAUG